rnacentral:lncRNA from 1 species
GUGAAGGAGCUAAGUAAACGGGCUCUGGGAUCACACCACCUGGGUCCAUUUUGAGCUCUGCCUGUUAGGUCGGGGUAGGUUCAACCCCUGUAGCACAGACACCAGAUGCAUCCUGGGAAAUACUGUUCUCUUUAAAACUGCAGGAGUGGCCCCCGUUGAGAUGGAGGUUGAACAAGCAUUUCCCUAGAGUCCUGUGGUCCAUAGCGUUGUCUGCUAAGAUGCCGGGCUGUCCUGGAGCUGCGGCUGGAGUCAGGUUCAAAUGCAGCACCCGGCAGCACACUACACAGGUGAGGACACCAUGUUCUUCUACUGUUGUGGAUGCAGCCCUCACCAGACAACCGAACCUGCCAGUGCCUUGUUCUUGGACUUCCUAGCCUUCAGAACUCAUAAUUUCCCAAACCCCCUGACUCGGUGACAACCUGCAGCUCUCUGGAAAGAUGCUUUGAAGACAAAAUGGGGUAAGGCACGUGCUUCCCAUGUCUCUUGCCUGAGUCACUACUUAGCUUUGCCUUUUCCUACACAGAAGAUA